GUUGGUUUAAGCAACUCUGAGUUGUCUGACUCAGAGUUAAGCGCGUGCACCGCGACGAUACAAAGCCCUGAUCAAUGGAGUGAAGAUAUUACGAGUCACCAUGGCAACAGGACAACAACAGACGGCCGGAAAUGGAUAUGAUACUUCAAGCAAAUAGCGACUACGAGUCUAUAAUCCGUAGAAAAGGCAACACGGCUGCAGCGGCGAAAGAGAAAGAAUUAGCUUGGAAGAAAAUAGCUGCUCGGGUCAAUGCGUAAGUUUACAUUUUAAACAUACAGUGUUCAGCGUAACUAAAUACUAAAUAAUUUUAGUAUUGUUGUUAUAUUUCACUUGUAAAGUAAGGACUUGUAAAGUAAUUUUUCACUCAUCUAAGGAGUUACUUCAGUAAUUGCAUAAAAUACCGAUGUUUAUAUGAAUUAAAAGUGCAGUGUUAUGUCUAUGCAUUUUUAAAAUUCCUGUUGUGGUUGAUGUGGGAUUUGUAAAGUAAUGAUAAUUCAAUAAUCCAAUACGUUUUAGGGAGAGCAAUUAUUACAUUAAUCUAAUUAGGUUUUUAAAAGUUACCCAAAACACGUAAUAAUAUAAGAACUUAAUUUCAGUUUUUAUGUAGGCGCAAUCCUGCAGGCAUUAAAGAACGUGGCUAAAAAUUAAAUAUAAAAACAUAAUUCAAACAGGUAUAAGGCACCAUCAUAUCAUGGGUGUAGACUACCUGACUACUUCCUGACAACAUUUGACAUAUUAAAUAACUAAAUAGCAUGCAGAGUAUAGCAGUGCAGCAGCAUUUUCAACAUGGCUGUAAUGUUUUCACACAGUUAAAUCUUUUGUCUUCUACUCAGCCAACAGAAAGAAGGCAGAGACUAGAACAACUGGUGGAGGACCUGCACCUCCACCACUGACGCAUGCAGAGGAGAAGGCCCUCAGCAUGAACACUGGAAAGCAGAGGCUGAAGAAAUUCAUCAGAACCAGUCACCCCCCAGGAUACAAGUGCAUGUGUAAAAUAGUGUGAAAGAACAGCAGGAGGUCAGUCACAUUCUGCUGCAAAGAUGCCCACAGUUCAGUUACCGGUUACAGAGUUGUAUAAACUAAAUCUCAAGAAAAUAUCACACUUGUACCACAAGAUUGAAAAGACAGAUCUAGAAAUUGAAAUUCCCAAACACAAGCUGGAGGAAAUGAAGAAAACCAAAUAAAUUAUGAUUUGCAUUUAUUCAGUUUCUUUUAUUGGUGGUGGUGAUGGCUGAUCUUAUGGCAAAUCACAUCCGACUGUCCAUCCACUCUGCAGAUUACCAUGAUGGAAGGAGUCUCCUCAGGGUCUUGUAUUUGUAGUGCAGGGUGUUGCUCCCCUCUAAUAAUUGCAAUAAUGUGGAGAGCAACACAUGCCACAUUAAUGUCACAGGCCUCUCAGGUGUUUCCCUGAGGUGACGUAGGCACUGAAGACCUGCUUUCAACAGGCCUAUGGUCAUUUCCACCCGGGCUCUUAUUCUGCAGUGACACAUUAAAGCGCUGCUGGGGGCCUGCUUCAGGUUCUGGGUCAGGGGUCAGUAGUGUGGGCUGGCAUUAACCCCUAUCUCCAGCAGAAAGCCGUCAAUCUCUCCUAGAAGAAAGUUCACAUUACUUUAGUGCUGCAUAGAAGUGCUCCUGUGAGUGUGUAGUGCAUGCAUAGAAAUAAGUGUAUAGGACAUACAUGUACUUACCACAGUGCAGUUUAUUUCAGAUCACAGCAAGAUAUUAUUAACUGAUCAUCAUUUUUCAGAUUAGCCUCAAUGAAACAAAUUGAUUACCACAUACCUGCAAUCCUGUGAAACUCCUCUUUAAUGGCUUUAAGGAGUUUGUGUCAAGGAAAGCGCUUGAGGUCGAUUUUUUCUACAUACAGUGGCUUCACUAAUGUGCUCAGCAUCUCCAAUGUUAUAAGGAAAACUACCGUUUGCAAAAAAAAACGUAACGCAACACAAAGAAUCUGUUCGGAUGUAAAAGCACGGCCACGAUGGGUGAUGUGUUUGACGUAUGGGUGAAUAAGAUUAUUAAUAUAUGUAUGGAGUCUCGAGAAAAACGUUACCGCUCAAAUAAAUAUGCACGGCGAUAUGACAGAAAAUUAACUCGUGGCGUUAAAAUCCUCUCGCGGCGUAAAUUCAAUGCCGUGUGAAUUAAUACAUCUUCCUCAUCUACAGGAUCCUCUAGAAACGGACAUUUUGGUCUCUGCGCGAAGGAAACAGGUGAAAUCUAUGAAUGAACUGAACGAUUAAACGAGGUAUUUAAACACUGUUCACUUUAAAAAGGGGCGGAGACCGAAGGAAACUCUGGGUUUCCCGAAUAAAACCUGCUCGCGACCAGGUUUGGUUCACAGAGUAAGUUGCCAUAGUAACUGACUGAGUUUCGAUUACCUCGCUUCUUGAAACGGGCUUAAACUUACCCCGCUUUACGGGUUUAAGUAACCUUGCUUUCUGAAACCGAAAACUCUGAGUUUUCCUCAUUUCGGGGUUAACAAACUCAGAGUUUCCACAAAACCUCCUUCUUGAAACGGGCCCCUGAAAUCAGCAGAUCUACAGCGACGCAUUACAGCAACAUGUUUGUUCCUACGCGUUUACUCUACGCGUGUCUGCAGAACUGCAGUUUGACUUGUUUUGACUGUGCGUGUCAUUGUAACUGAGUGGCUGAGAUCACUUAUUCGACCCGUGUACGUUUCAACAUUUUGAUUUCCCAUCCGUCUAUCCAGCCACUUUCACCGGCGUUUUCGCUUCUCUUCCGAUGAGCGGCAAACGGAUUUUAAUCAAAGCACCGCCUUACAAACCAAUAAAACAGGCAAAAAUAUUUGGUUUUUACAAAAAGAAACGGAAUUGGAGUUAAUAUGUCUUUAUUGUUUAGAGACAAACGGAAAACACAAAAAGUCGUUCUCUCGUUACCUCUGCUUAUAAUUUGGUGGAAACAUCAAACUCUUACACAAACACGUGACGUGUUUCGGAGUCAUGUGUCCAGACAGAGAGUGACCAAUACACAAAUGUAUGGAUGUGCAAAUGCAGGCUACGAGAGAAACGAGGGAGUGGCGCACUAGAUGUAGGGAUAAUUUGUUUUGACUGUGCAUGUCAUUGUAACUGAAUGAGUGGCUGAUGUGACUUAUUCGGCCCAUGUACGUUUCAACAUUUUCAUUUACCAUCCGUCCAUCCAGCCACUUUCACCGGUGUUUUCGUUUCUCUUGCAAUGGGCGGCAAACAGAUUUGAAUAAAAGCACCGCCUUACAAACCAAUAAAUCGAGCAAAAAUAUUUUUAACAAAAACACACGGAAUUGGAUUUAAAACUGUUUUUUCGUUUAGAGAAAAACGAAAAACAAAAAAACUCUGCUUUUAAUUUUUAAUCGAAGCUCAUCUGUGGACGGGUCGCGGGGCAGCAGUCUUAGCAGAGAGCUCCAGACUGCCGCUCAAUGAAACACGAGAGAAGACUCAUUAAUGCAGCAAGUAGUUUGUUCUACAUGUUUACUCUGCAAGAGUAAACGUAUGUAUUUAUCGUAGCUUUCUGGUCUAAUUUAUUUGUAGCACUUCGACAUUCGUUUAAAAUAUGCAGUGCAUUUUAAAAUGAAAAUACUAUUAUUAUUAUUUAUUACCUUUAUUGUAAACACAGUAUUAAUUGCACAAUUUGGACUGGCAAAGAUUUGCGCUUCUUUCAUAAUAAAUCAUGGAUAAUCAAGGAAGAAACUGCAGUUCAUAGAUGUUAUUCAGGGACGGUUUGAUAAAGAUUCAGUGUGUUUUUCAACUGAACUGUCAGCCAAGGUACGUGCAUUAUCAAAUGAAUGCGCCUGUCAGCGGGAAAGACAUCAACUCUAAUCAGUUGCUCUUCAGUCGCUGCUGCCGUCUCCUCCCCAGUUCACACACCUUUACUGGGUUUUCUAAAUAUACCAGUUCCUACAACAAAGUGUUCCUACGAAGUUAACCAGCUGUUUAUUUCGUUAAUCCCUCUUUCAUGUCCGUCUGGUGAAUAAAAGUGGGCGUGGCCAUCCACGUCCCAGAGCAGGGACACUGGGGGAAGGGGAAACACGCAUCAAAACGCAGGACAAAGGUCUGCCUGCUACAGCCUCGGCUGCGUUGGGUUGUUAGUGUCCCUUUCACCUCUACCAUAUGAAAUGUGUUCCUGCGAAGUUGAUCAGCCGCUUUCAGAAUCAGAAUCGUUAUUAUUCCCCAGGGUUUGAACAGGGCAAACAUUAUUUUUAUUUACAAAAAAAAAUAAAACGUUCACAUGUGAUUUGCAAAUGCUGCACUGAGCUCUUUUGCUUUGACGAGUUUUGUGUCUACAUGAAAGCGGGCAGAACAACGUCCAAACCAAUGAAUACGUUUCCAGAUUGACCGGUGAUGCCGCACGGGUUACUCUCAAUUACAGCAGCUGUUUGAAGCAGGGAAAAGCGAGUUAGCUGUCCUUGUCGAUGCCUUGACAAUGUUUUAUCAUCUGUUAACCAUCCGAACAGUUUUUAUGUUUUUACAAGGGUAAUAUGACGCUUACGUUUGAUCGUUGCUCGUAUUCCCUAUAAAGGUGACGAGGACUGAAUAGGUAUGCCACCUACAGGCCAAAAGGACGUAACACACUCUUCCCGCAGUGCAAACAGGGCGCUGACACGGCAGAUUCGAGUCCCUAGCACGGUGGGGGUAGACACUUUUAACGGCUGCCUCUGUAGCGGACCCACAUGCACGGCGGAGACAAAGCUCGGUGAUAAUAAGGAUUUAUUAAUACUCGUAGUCAGGCAGGCAAAGGUCGAUACACAACUGAGGCAGUAGCGGUACAGGCAUGAAUCAGACAGUUGGUGGUCAGGAGGCAGGCUUAGGUCAGACUUACGGCAAGGCAGUAUCACAGAUGAGGCAGGCGGCAAGGUCAGGGAAAACAGGGUCGGUCACAAAUCAAGAUAUGAAAUAAUGCUGGACUGCUGGCUAUAACACAAAGACAAUCUGGCAAGGUGCUGGGCUGAGAGGUGGUGCUUAAAUACUAAAAAGAAAAACAGGUGAGUAAUUAAUAAUGGAAUACAGUUGGUGAUAUCAUGUGACUGCAAAGUAAAGCUAAAACAAAAGUGACAACACACAAAACUGGAAGUAGAAGAAAAUAAAGCAGGAAGUGAGUCCAGACCGUGACACCACCUUAUUAUUCCCGCAGGGUAUCUGAUCACUGGCAGAGCGUACUGUAGCUGUUUAUUGCCCAGGAUUUGUUCUUGCCAUUGAGCUGGCUUCUUAGGACUAACCCUAACCCAACACAACCUGCGAAAGUGUACUCUCAAUGGCAGGGUAACAACAGCAGAGCAGACCCACCAAGGCUGGAAACUGAACAGUACUGGAAAGGCAUAUGGGAAAGGGAGGCGUCACACAACAGUGAUGCACAGUGGCUGGUGGAUCUGAGGGAAGACCACAGCAACCUCCCUGAACAGAAUCCAGUGACUAUCACAGUGGCAGAUAUCCAACAAAGAGUCUCAGGUUUGAAAAAAAUGGACAGCACCUGGCCCUGACAUGAUCCACGCCUACUGGCUGAAGAAGCUCUCUGCAAUCUAUGAGCGCCUGGCAGCACAAAAGAACCAGCUGUUAAGGGAUGGGACUCACCCUGAAUGGCUAACUGAAGGGCGAACGAUCCUGAUAACGAAGGAUCCCUCAAAGGGUACAGUCCCAUCCAACUACCGGCCAAUAACCUGUCUCUCCACAACAUGGAAGCUCAUGUCAGGCAUCAUCGCAGCUAGGAUAAGUGGACACAUGGGUCAAUACAUGAGCAAAACACAGAAGGGCAUUGGUAAGGAUACCAGAGGAGCCAAACACCAACUCCUGGUACACAGAACAGUCGCCGAAGACUGCAGAAUGCGACACACUAACCUGUGCACAGCCUGGAUCGACUACAAGAAAGCCUAUGACUCAAUGCCACACACAUGGAUCACUGAAUGCUUGGAGCUGUACAACAUCAAUAGAACUCUAAGGGCCUUCAUUGCAAACUUGAUGAGGUUGUGGAGAACCAACCCUUGAAGCCAGCGGGAAGCCACUUGCCCAAGUAUCCAUCAAAUGCGGCAUAUACCAAGGAGAUGCACUGUUCCCACUGCUGUUCUGCAUAGGUCUGAACCCCCUCAGCCAAAUAAUAAACAAGACUGGCUAUGGAUACCGACUUCGGAACGGGGCCACCAUAAGUCACCUCCUCUACAUGGAUGACAUCAAGCUGUACGCCAAGAGUGAGUGAAACAUCAACUCGCUGAUCCACACCACCAGGAUCUACAGCUCGGAAUUUGGGAUGUCAUUCGGGCUUGAUAAAUGUGGGAGGAUGGUGACAAAGAGAGGCAAAGUAAUCCACACAGAAGGGGUCUCACUCCCAGAAGGAACAAUAGCAGACAUUGAGGACAAUUUCAAGUACCUUGGAAUACCACAGGCGAACGGCAACCUUGAACAGGUAGCAAGGAAUGCGGCAACAGCCAAAUACCUCCAACGAGUAAGGCAAGUCCUAAGAAGCCAGCUCAAUGGCAAGAACAAAUCCCGGGCAAUAAUCAGCUACGCCCUGGCAGUGAUCAGAUACCCUGCGGGAAUAAUAAGUUGGCCAAAGGAAGAGAUACAGACCACAGAUGUUAAGACAUGAAAGCUCCUCACCAUGCAUGGAGGGUUCCACCCCAAAUCCAGCACCCUGAGACUAUACGCUAGCCGCAAGUGAGGAGGCCGAGGACUAAUGAGUUUGAAAACCACCAUCCAAGAUCCAUAAGUACAUCAAGGAUAAGGCCCCAAGGUGAAUAAUGUUAAGCUACAGCCUUACUAACCUUGUAGUGGGACACUCAAAACCUGAACAGGCUUUCCAAAUCCAACUGCAAGUAUUACUGAUACUUAUCACUACCAAUAUCAAUAACGUAUGAAUAUGGAAAUUGUGGUGUUGUAUGUCAUUACUUUUAUUAAGUAGUAUGGGAUAUGUAUAACAAUGCAUAUCUGUAUGUAUAUGAUAUGUAUAUGUUUGUAUGAGUAUGUGCACAUACCUUAACGCUAUUAUUGGUAUUAAUAUUAAUCUCCAAGGUAAACCACAGUACAACAGUUGUUUAGUUAUGAAUGUGUUAGCAUUAACAUUCAUCUUACUUAACAUACUCUGAAUGAUAAUAUACACACACAUACAUUCACAGAUAACAUGGAAACCUAAUACGUUAACUACUGCUUUACAGCGAUACUGCAGUGCUGCUGUACGCAUGGCUAAUUAAAGUAGCAGUGCAAAGCACAUGUCCUUGUCCUGUUAGAUCUUAGUGUCGCAUUUGAUACAAUUGAUCGUAACAUUCUAUUACAGAGACUAGAACAUAGAAUCGGAAUUAAAGGAACAGCACUAGGAUUGUUUAAAUCCUAUUUGUUGAACAGAUUCCAGUUUGUUCAUAUUAAUGAGAAAUUCUCCAGUGAGAAUUGGACAAGGAUUAGCUAUGGAGUACCACAGGGUUCUGUGCUUGGUCCAAUUCUGUUCAGCCUAUACAAUUCUCCUCUAGGUGAGAUUAUUAGGAAGCAUUGUAUUAAUUUUCAUUGUUAUGCAGAUGAUACUCAGUUAUAUAUGUGUAGCAAUCCACAUCUGGACUGAGGUAACCUGACCUACAUGUGAACUUAAGUCCCUCAUUGAAGAGUCUGCUUAUCAUUCCAAAAGGACAGCCUGUCACAUUUAUCACUGAGAAGCUGCCUCUCCCAGAACUGGGACCACCAGCCAUAGAAUGUGGAAUGUGCUCAUCAAGAGAACAAGAGACUUCAUUUGGACACACAUUCUGGUUCCGAUGCACCAGAACUUCCAACUUCCAUGAAACUGAUGCCAUUGUAUUCUGUGGACAAAAUGUUUUCAUUUGAUAUUAGAUUGGUUUCUGUGUGAUGUUUAAUGCCUGAUCUACAGAUUUGCCAGGAAAUAUCUAAAGUCACAAAGGGACUCCAACUUAUCACCCCCCUUUCCUUUGUGUGUAGGCACAAAGUUGAAAUAGAGAUACUCACCUUCUUUACUUCUUUUAAUCUGUGCAACAUACACAUAGACUAUGUCCACCAGCUACAAUUAGGUAUCCUCAUUAUUGUAUUACAUUUUUAAGUGUUACAAUUGUUUAAUUAGUAAUGCCCAGAUUAGGUCAUUUAUAAUUUGAUUUUGCUUGCAUUUAUUAUUCAUGUAUGUUUUAGUGUUUCCUGGGUGUUACAUAAGACAAGACCAGUCAUGAUGAAUAACAUUUCAUUUGUUACAGCGUUGUAAGGGACCACGUAUAAGACCUUAAUAUUCUAUGCAGUUAAUAUUGCUGUUUAACCAUUCUGACGUCUCUGCUUAUUUUAUUUUAUUUUUUUAAUCUUAUGUUAUGGUGUGAUGGAACUUUGAGCUUGAUGAAAAGAGGAAAGCUUAAUUAUCCCAGAUUUAGGAGCGAUGCAAAUCCAAUCGUUUGAUACUUGAUCUGAAGAGGUGGAACUCUUCACCACUGGUUGAACUCAUUUCUCCACCCUGCAGUGACCACUGCCCCAGGGGUAUUUAAACCAGUGACACCCUAGUGAAAUCGGAUUUCCCUCUACCUUCAAACUUCUUUCACCUUCUCUUUUUGCGUCGCAUUACUUUUCUUUUAUUUUCCUUUGUUCUUAAGUUUUGUAAACCUAAGUUAAACUUAGAAAAACGAACGAACAACAAAUUUUGUAACGCUAGAAAGUCAUCAAGAAACUCCGCAAAACUGAAACUGUUACAACCAGUCCUUAAUUGAUUCGCUGUUUUUGAUUGAACUAAUUAAAUUAGAUUCCAGCCCGUUUCCUUUUUGGGCUAGUUUAAGUAGCGCUGACACUUUGAAACACCUUGGAAAGUCCAGCCUGGCUGACUUUUACUUUGCUGACCCCGAGCCGUCAUCAUCACCGAUGAUCAUCUCAUUCUGAUUGUUUUCUCAUUUUCUGUUCUGUUUAUUUGAGUAUUUCCAUAUUAUGUUAUUCAUAUAUCCAGUAGUGUUAGAUUAAUAAAACGUUAAAAGGAAUCUGGUUUUGUGUGCAUUGUUCUUAAGAUUUAAGCAGAGGUCACUGAACCGUGACAAGAAUUCAUGGCAUAAGAGACUGAUUUGGUUUUAUCACGAGAAAGUUGUUAUUGUUGUCCAUAACGGGUAACUCAUUGAAUUAGCAUCUGGCGUUGACUAGAUUGAUUAAAGCGUGGUUUCAGCUUUAAAAC